rnacentral:lncRNA from 1 species
UAAUAAUAUAUUUAUUAAAAAUAAUAUAGAUAUACAUAGAAUUUAUGAUACUUUAAAUAAUACAUUGUUAGAUAAUUGUAAUGAAGAAAAAAAUGUUAUGGAAUUAAAAAAGUUUGUACAAAAAGAAGAAAGUAAUUUACAAAAAAAAAAAAUUAAUGUUAGAAAUGCAAACUGUUAUGAUGAUUAUAUGCAUAAUUAUAACACACUGGAAGAAAAAAAAAAUUUGCUGCAACUGCAAAAUAUUUUAUAUGAUGGGGAUGAACAUAUAAGUGAUUUUAAAAGUAUGAGUGAGACAACAACAAAAAAAAAAAAUAGUAAAAAAGAUGGUGAAUAUGACAAAGACGAUCAAGGUGAUACGGAUGACAAGCGGAACAACACGAAAGGAUUAGGUUUAGAAAGCCUUGAAAGUCAGAGAGCAACUGAUGCAGUAAACGGUGGUAAUAGUGGUAGUAAUAGUGGUAGUAAUAGUAGUAGUGGUAGUAAUAGUAGUAGUGGUAGUAAUAGUAGUAGUGGUAGUAAUAGUAGUAGUAGUAGUAGUAGUAGUAGUAGCAGUAGUAGUAGCAGUAGUAGUAGCAGUAGUAGUAGUAGUAAUAGUGGCUAUGGUGACAGUAGUAAUAAUAAUGAAAAUAAUGGUAACAAUAAAGGCGAACAUAGUGGGAAAAAGAACGAUGAAAAUUUAAAUGCACUUUCCAAUGUUUUAAUUACAUAUGAUGGAAGGUCGAAUAAAAAUAGAGAUGAUAAAGAAGAAAAAAAGAAUAAAAUAAUGUUAAUAGAGUUUGUUUAUGAUGAUAAGUACAAAUGUGAAUUUAGAACAGACGUGGGUGUAAUUUGUUACGACACAAUAGAACCUAAUUUUAUAAAUUGUAAAAAAAAAAAAAUAAAUAAUAAAAUAAAUAAGUUGGACAUUUAUAGUUCUUAUCAUAAUAAAAAAUAUGACAUUUCUUUUGAUAAUGCUUUAUCAGUGUAUGGUAAGGAUAUAGAAGAUAUAUUUAAGGAUAUAAAUUAUGAUGCAUUAAAUUUGUUACCAUAUAAAAAGAGGUUUUCAAAAAAACAAUGCAUUGCAAAUAAAAUAAAUAAAAACGUAAUUGACAAUAAUUUAAAAGAUACAAAUUUAGUAAACAAGUUGUUAUAUGUUUUUUUAUAUUUAUGGGGAGAUGAUUUGCAUUUCUAUGAAUUAAAGAAAUUGGAGUGGAAAAAGUUAAAGAAUGAAAAAGAAGUAAAAAUGAAUAUUUUGAACGAACAAAAAAAGCAGUACAGUUUUUUUUACAAUUUUGGUAACGAUAAUGGUAUAGCAUGUACUGAUGACAUAGCAAGAGAUGACCACGAACCAAGAGAUGGUAACGAACCAAAAGAUGGUAACGAACCAAAAGACGACCACUUACUAAGAGACGAUAAUACAUUAAUAAAUAACAAUAUAUAUAACAAAAUUCUUCGUUCAGAUAAAAAAAUGACAUAUAAAAAUAAUUACAAACUAUUUAAUAAUGAGACAUUUUUAAAUAAUGAUUAUAUUUCAUUUAACUUAGGGUUGUAUAUAAAUAACAAGAACGAAAUUAAUAAUUAUGAAAGUUUAAUUAAUAAAUUAAAAGCGUUUAAUUGUACUUUAAGUGAUAAUAUAUUAUAUUAUUUAAAAAAAAAAAAAAAUAUAUGUUUU